rnacentral:rRNA from 1 species
UACGUAGGGGGCAAGCGUUGUCCGGAUUUAUUGGGCGUAAAGAGCGUGUAGGCGGCCGUACAGGUCAGCUGUGAAAACUCGAGGCUCAACCUCGAGACGUCGGUUGAAACCGUACGGCUAGAGUCCGGAAGAGGAGAGUGGAAUUCCCGGUGUAGCGGUGAAAUGCGCAGAUAUCGGAAGGAACACCUGUGGCGAAAGCGGCUCACUGGACCAUAACUGACGCUGAGGCACGAAAGCUAGGGGAGCAAACAGG